UAAUUCUGUUUGGCUCAACUAUCCACUCAUCUCUCUCCUUACUCCUCUUCUCUUAAUCAUUCCUUCACUCUCUCUUAGCGGCGACAAGAUCCCAUGGAGGCGAGGAGAACCCAGUAGCAGCGGCGCCAGUGAAGGGAGGAACUCCACCCCCAUAAAAUUCGAUUUUCUCUCUCUACAUCAGGUUAAUAAUCUAAACCUUGGUCAGAACUCCACGUACAUCUUCAAAUUCAAAACAUCUUAGAGACAAAUGAAAGAUUGUUGUUAAUGACUUAACUCUUGAUGAUGUGAACUUUUGUGUUUAAACUUUGUUGUUGGUGAACCUUUGGUUUUUGAGCUUUGUAUAAUUGAUGUUGAAGCUGUGAA